GCCCCACCUCGAGUCCUGCCUGGCGCCCCGGCGGGGAUCCCUCCACAGCGACGCCGGGCCGGCACCCGGGUCCGGCACCGGGUCCAGGAGGCCCUCAAACGGCGGCAAACAUGACAAUUCUGCCCGGCCCUCCAUCAGCACAAGCAGCAGACCCCAGCCCCUGACCUGGAGGAUCAAGAGAGAGUGAAGGCCUUAAGCUGAGCCUUUCAGGGCACCCAGAGCAAUUUCCAAAGAGACGUGUUAGUCCCUUCAAGAAUAAUCCUCUCUGAUAUAGUACUCUUUGGGUGACAUGUUUCCAGCUUUGGGUUUUUUUUCUUGAAGAUUUAGAUGCUUCUCUUUGUUAAAAAAAAAACAACAACUGAGCAUUUCCUUUGGCUGGUAGAGGUCCUAGCGUGGCAUGCCGAAAUAAGAUACGAUAAGAAAUGGCAAUAAAUGGGUUCUGAAACACCCAGUUUGUGUUGCAAAUCUUUUCUCUUUGUGCCUGUGCCUUCGAGUUGCCAAAAUAUGGCAAUCCCAUAGAUAUUAUGGGGUUUUCUUAGGCAAAGAGUCCUCCUUCUUCUGAAAUAUAAUCCACAGCAUCAUCAUCAUCAACAACAAGAACAGGAAGCAGCCAGGCUUUGAAGCUGCCAGGCUAUUCAAUGGGAAUCAAGCUGGCCAAUUGCGACAUUCACACCUCCCUCAAACAUACAAGAGUUCUUUCUCCCACCCUGGACAUUCCACAGAUAUAUAUACAGUAGAGUCUCACUUAUCCAACCUUCACUUAUCCAACAUUCUGUAUUAUCCAACGCAGUCAGCCUUAUAGUAGUCAAUGUUUUUGUAGUAAAUGUUGUGAUGUUUUGGUGCUAAAUUCAUAAAUACAGUACUACAUAACAUUACUGGGUAUUGAACUGCUUUUUCUGUCAAUUUGUUGUAAAACAUGAUGUAUUGGUGCUUAAUUUGUAAAAUCAUAAUGUAAUUUGACGUUUAAUGGGCUUUUUUCUUAAUCCCUCCUUAUUAUUUAACAUUUUUGCUUAUCCAACAUUCUACCGGCCCAUUUAUAUUGGAUAAGUGAGAGUCUAUUGUAUAUAUAAACCCCACUUGUCUAAUUUCCAACAGACCUCAAAACCUCCGAGGAUGCCUGCCAUAGAUGCGAGCGAAAUGUCAGGAGAGAAUGCUUCUUGAACAUGGCCAGACAUGGCUGGAAAACUCACAGCAACCCAGUGAUUCUGGCAAUGAAGUAUUUCAUCAAAAGGAAAAGGAGAGAAGGGGGAGAAAACCUAAUGAAACACCCAAAUCAGCAAAAUGUUAAUGAACAUUUCCCUUUUUUUGCCAGUCAGCUGCUGCAACAGGGUCUCUGCUUCGGGUUUGCCUGCAUUUUAGCUGCAGUUCUGCUGUUCAUAAUUCAAGAUCCCGCCUCGAAAACUGCUGACAAGCCUUCCAGGGCCGGGUUUUUAAUGUUCGCUCUUUGGAGCCAUUAAGACUCCGGCUUCCAAGAAACCCCUCCUCUGCGAAUAGCGAGACAACCAGAACGAAUUAUGUCCAUCAUUUCUUGGCUCUGCGGGGACACUAAGAGCAAAUCUGCAGUAACUUCCCAAAACUUUUAGAGCCCCGGAUGGACAUCCAGGCUUAGUGUUUUGCAGUUAGACACUUCAGACGUUCAUCUGACCGCUUUUUGUCGUCGGUGACAAAUCCAAAACGGAUCAAAUGAUCUGUGUUCCUCUGUGAAUCAGCCAGCAUGGAGGAAAUGAUUUGUUUCCUGCCAAGAUCCUAUUCAGCAUAAAUUUGCAGUUCGGUUGGAUUGCUCAUGCCGUUGUGUGCUUCGUUACGCAACAGGCAGCAAUGUCUUAAAGAGCAUCUACACUAGAAUUAAUGCAGUUUGACACCACUUUAACCACCAUGGCAUUGCAGCCAUUUGAGUUAUAAUUUUACAAGGUGUUUCGGCUUCUCUUCCAAAAAGUGCUAUAAUGCCUCACUAAACGACAACUAUUAAUGAAUAUAUAUAAAAGGCAGUACAGUAGAGUCUCACUUAUCCAACAUUCACUUAUCCAACGUUCUGGAUUAUCCAACGCAAUUUGCCUCCCACUCCAAUCCAUAGCUGUUUCUCUAGGCAGCAAGGAUUGAACUUUUUAUGGAUUUAAUUUCCAACAAUGUUGCUACUGUAAGUUCAUGUAAUGCAAUUCUAUCUUUAUUUGUAGUCCAUUUGUUAGUAGCCAAUGUUUCUUGGGGCCGGGCUGUGGCGCAGCUGGCUAGUAACCAGCUGCUAUAAAUCACUACUGACCGAGAGGUCAUGAGUUCGAAGCCCGGGUCGGGUUAAGCCUCCGACCAUUAAAAAAAAAAUAGCCCUGGCUUGCUGUUGACCUAGCAGCCCCGAAAGACAGUUGCAUCUGUCAAGUAGGGAAAAUUUAGGUACGCUUUAUGUGGGAGGCUAAUUUAACUAAUCUACAACACCAUAAAACUGCUCACGAGGAAAAGAAUGAGGAAGAACAGCCACUACUGGACGGUGAAGCAACAGCUCCUCCUGUGGCCGGAAUCGUGAAGCUGGAAAGAUGUUAAAAAUGCCUCUGUGUCUGUCUAAAACUGAAUGUUGUUUGUCUGUUGGCAUUGAAUGUUUGCCAUAUAUGUGUUCAUUGUAAUCCGCCCUGAGUCCCCUUCGGGGUGAGAAGGGCGGAAUAUAAAUACUGUAAAUAAAUAAUAAUAAUAAUAAUAAUAAUAAUAAUAAUAAUAAUAGUCAAUGUUUUCAAUAUAUUGCGAUGUUUUGUUGCUAAAUUCAUAAAUACAGUAACUACUACAUAACAUUACCAUGUUUUGGGCUGCUUUUUCUGUCAAUAUGUUGUAAAACAUGAUGUUUUUGGUGCUUAAUUUGUAAAAUCAUAAUGUAAUUUGACAUUUAAUAGGCUUUUCAUUAAUUCCUCCUUAUUAUCCAACAUUUUCGCUUAUCCAACAUUCUGCCGGCCUGUUUAUGUUGGAUAAGUGAGACUCUACUGUAUAUGAAUGAAUUAAUAGCAAUUGCACCUGCAGCCAUUGUGGUUUUUGUGCUUGUACUUUGUAAGUGCAUCUUUUCAAAGCGGAUUCUGCCAUCUUAUUUUCCAUUCCUGGGGCUGCAAUAACAAUCAUCGGCUUGGAUGUGUUCCUAUUGUGUUCUCCUGGCUCUGGAGAGCGUCCAAACGGCCUCGGAUGAGCGGAAACUUGGCCGGGAAGCCCCUCGGUCCAGGAAAUGCAAGCUGGAGAUGGAGGAGCCCCGAAAACAAGAAGGAAGAAGAAGAAGAGCCCUGCUGCCUCUCCUGCAAACCCUGCUCUUCCUUUCCUGCUUGCUGCUGCCCAUCCAGGCUUUGCCGGGAGGAGUCCAAGAGAUGCGGCUGCCCAGUGGCCAGGCCAUCUGCCGGGGAGGGACACAGCGGCCGUGCUACAAGGUCAUCUACCUCCACGAGGCCGGGCGCAGGGUGGGCUUCCAGGCCGCCCUCCAGGCCUGCCGCCGGGACGGAGGGGACCUGCUCAGCAUCGAGUCCCAGGCGGAGCAGAACCUGAUCGAGAAGAUGAUCGCCAGCGUCUCGGCCUCGGACGGGGACUUCUGGCUGGGGCUCACCCGGGAGCGGGACCCCGACAACAGCACCGAGUGCCCAGAGCUGUACUCCUGGUCCGACGGGAGUGCGGCCACGUUCCGGAACUGGUAUGCCGACGAACCGUCCUGCGGGAGCGAAAUCUGCGUGGUGAUGUACCACCAGCCGUCGGCUCCCCCCGGCGAUGGGGGUCCUUACAUGUUUCAAUGGAACGACGACCGGUGCAACAUGAGGAACAACUUCAUCUGCAAAUACGCCAUGGAGAAGCCAACCGUGGCCCCAGAAACGAAUGCUUCUCUAGCAGCUGUUGUCACAGAGGCCUCGGCACCCGCAUCCCCCGAGGAGCCCCUCCAAGAAAAUGUAAUACGCAAAACCUCCAAAGAAGCCAAGGAACCUGUUUGGAACCUUCUGUACAUCUUAGUCCCCAGCAUCCCUGCCUUGCUGCUCCUCUUGGUCAUUAUGGCCAUUUUCUGUUUUUGGCUUUACGCAAAAAGGCGACGGGCGCAAACAGAGGUGAACCAGAAGGAUGGUGAUGCCUGGGCGUCCCCAAAAAGGCAGAAGAGCCCCAGUCUGGAGAUCUACAACGUCAUCCGAGAGCAGUCCGAAGCCGACCUGGCCGGGACCAGGCCGGACAUCAAGAACUCCUCUUUCCGGAUCCGUUCGGGAGGAGAGACCCCGGACGACCUUUCCGGAGACUACGACAACAUGGCCGUCAACACUUCGGAGAGCGGCUUCGUGACGCUGGCCAGCACCGAGAGCGGGUUUGUCACCAACGACAUCUACGAGCUGUGUCCGGACAGAGUGGGCCGCAGCAAGGAAUCCGCCUGGGUGGAAAACGAAAUCUACGGGUACUGAAGGAAGCGGUGGGCCUCCCAGGCAAAACAACCCGUUUCAAGCCGAGUCCGGCAUGUAUGGACGCAAACACGUCCCCGGCGUGUGUUUUGCAUUUGGCAAUGCUUGCGGUUUUUUAUGGUAAGGUGGUCCUUUCCGCCCUGAAAGUUGAAUGCCAGAGACUAUAUAUUUGGAGCUUUUCCCAAAUCAAAGAAAAUGGCUACAAACCCUCUCCAAUCUACAUCCUGUCAUCUGCCGUUGAACCAAAACCAACAGCCUGAACAAUAUUUUUGCCAUUUAAGGUGUAUUCAAGUCCAUUUUUUGUUAUAUUAUUUAAGCGAAUUGCCUCAUUCCAGACAAUGUUUCUGAGUUGUGGUGAUGCUUGCUUUUCCCCAGCUCAAAAUACUACAAACACAGGCAAGUUGUCUCUUCAACCACCAUCAUUUCAAAAAAUCAACCAUUUCUUAGGUUUUGGGGUGGGGUUUUUUUUUUUUUUUGCUUUAUAUUUUCCGGGGAGCGGGGUGAGCUCCCGCUAUUAGCCCCAGCAUCUGCCAACCUAGCAGGUCAAAAAAAUGCAAAUGUGAGUAGAUUGAUAGGUACCGCUCCGGCUGGAAGGUAACGGCGCUUGAUGCAGUCAUGCCAGCCAUAUGACCUCAGAGGUGUCUACCAACAUGAGAAUGUGAGUAGAUCGAUAGGUACCACUCCGGCGGGAAGGUAACAUAGGCACUCCAUGAAAUCAUGCCAGUGGCCACAUGACCUUGGAGGUGUCUAUGGACAACGCCGGCUCUUCGGCUUAGAAAUGGAGAUGAGCACCAAACCCCAGAGUCGAACACAAUGGGACUUAAUGUCAGGGGAAAACCUUUAGCUUUACCUUUAUUUUCAGGGAGCAAUUCGUUUUUUUUAUACUCCGUCCAUGAAGUGGAAAGAAAUAUCAAGGGGACCAAUGAGGCCAUCGGGUGCAAUACCCAAACCAAGGAUAGGAAGAACUUGCAAUGCCUACCUGGCCAAAUAUCGUGAUAGGAAUGGCGAUAGAUAUUGCUGCAAGAGAGACAAAAAUAUGAGACCUGUAUCUUGCCAAGAAGAAGGCAUUCGCAUUAUUUGUUGCUGUAUAAGACUGCUGGGUUCGGUCAUAUGGGUUGAAGGAACUAUAAAGCAGUGGUCACUUAAUUCCUGGAGAAAAAAGGUGACCAAGUUGGAUUGUUGGCUCUUUUAUUCUUUUGCAAUGCUGGCAAGCAUGUCGGAGACCAGCGCAGGUGUUUUCCUAGGAGUCCCGGUACGAAUGGGAUCGCCAUGAAAGCAUUUCGUGUCCCGUUUGGUGCUUUACAGUGCAACUUUCAAAGGGAUUCUGAAGCAACCGCAAAGGGGCUUAGACGAUGGAUGGAUGGACGGAGGCAGUGAAAAGCAAAGGUGAGGAGUUUUCUUCCCAGAUUAGCAUCCAAAUCCCAGGUUUCUGCAAGCAAAUGAGUCUACUUAAGGCGUUGUAAGAAACGAUGCUACUUUGUUAUCGGGCGCUAAACACGUUAUCCUUUGCGUUUGGUGGAACUUUGAUCCGGAAAUGUGCCAAGACAUACCAGACCUCAUUCAAAGCAAGGAAAGGUCUGACUCCUCUUCCUUGGAAGCACAACACAAGGCAAAGGAAAGCAGACACAGGUUUCAAAACAUAUAAUAAAAACUCGUCUUAUGUCACCGA